AUGGUUCAUGUAUUUAGGUUCCUACCACCCACAAUGGAGACCUCAACUGAGCUCAUGGCUUCAAAUUUCAGCCCAGUCCAGUCCUGGCCACUGCAAAGAUUUGGAGAGUUUCCAGUAGAUGGAAGCAGCCUGCCUUUCUCUCUCAUCUUCUCUCCCUCUCUCUCUCUCUCUCUCUCCCUCUCUCUCUCUCUCUCCACACAUACACACACACACACACACACACACACACCAUCCCUCCCUCCCUCCCUUUCAAAUAAACAAAAUAUAAUCAUCUCACUUCUUAGUUGAAAAUGUUUUCAUUAAAAAGAAGUUUCACGUCGGGGGGUGGGGGGGAGCAGCAGCAGCAGCAACAGUCUCAAUAUUCUUAGCUUCUGCAACCUUGCAUAGUGUUGUUAGGACCUGUUGGGCCACUAAUCCCAAACUCGGUGAAACUGGGCACAGAAAGGUAGUCUAAAAACUAGUAGAAUCUGGCCGGCGCCGUGGCUCACUAGGCUAAUCCUCCGCCUUGCGGCGCCGGCACACCGGGUUCUAGUCCCAGCCGGGGCGCUGGAUUCUGUCCCGGUUGCCCCUCUUCCAGGCCAGCUCUCUGCUGUGGCCCGGGAGUGCAGUGGAGGAUGGCCCAAGUCCUUGGGCCCUGCACCCGCAUGGGAGACCAGGAGAAGCAUGUGCCAGCCGCGGCGGCCAUUGGAGGGUGAACCAAUGGCAAAGGAAGACCUUUCUCUCUCUCUCUCUCUCACUGUCCACUCUGCCUGUCAAAAAAAAAAAAAAAAAAAAAAAAAAAAACCUAGUAGAAUCUGUGUUGCCAGCAUUUGGCUGCUUGGCACUGGCUUUGACUAGCUGCUCACCUGGGACACUGAAAGCCCCUAAGACAGAACAUGGUAACGGAGGGGCCUUUCUGCACGUCCCCUGCCUACAUGAUCAGGGUCUCCAUGGUAUUCAGCAUGGCCACACAACUCCCUCUACAAGCGGCUUAAACAGGGACACUGCCUGUGCCUGUGCAUGAAAAGGCCUGACUUCAAACCCCCUCCUCUGUCCAGGUGGGCUGAACCCCUGCUCUCUUUACCAGCAUAUUCUGUCCCUCCCAAAAUAAAGUCUUUGCUGCCUUAAUAGGUCA
rnacentral:lncRNA from 1 species